GGUCCUCCCACCUAGUACCCGCGGAGCCUCCUGCCCGCGGGGCACCGGCCGCCUCCCUCGUCAGGCCGUGGUGCCCACAGACGGACGGAAGGCGUCCAUCCCUCUGCUGCGGUCAGGCUAGACGGGCCAGCGGCUUGGAGCCACCCUUCCCAAGGCGCACUGGAACUCUCCCUGUCAUUGCACAGACAGGGUGGGACGCUGGGUUCCCAGCCCCGGCGCCCCAGGGUCCCGUGGCCUUCUCUUGGGGCAGGCCGUCGAUGUAUUUCUGCUGUGGCGCUGCAUUCAGCACCUCUGGAACACCCUGGAGGUCUUACACACCGGGUAAUUCUUCUCUCAGCUCUCUGCUUGCUUUAAAUGUGGAAGAACAGUCUCUGGGCAAGGAUGAACGUGUCUAAACUGUUCUAAGUCCAGUUGCAACCAGAUGACAAACAAGAGGGAUUUAAUCUUCCCGUGAGGACAGGAGCUCUCACUGUGAUGCCACACAAGCACAAUGGGGGUGGCACUCCCAUAAUUCAAGAAGGAAGAAGGAGGAUGAAAGUGGAAGAGAGAUGGGUUCUACUUGUCCCCAUUAACAGCUGAAAAUCCAAGAUCCUCACCAUCACUUUGGCAGCAGACGGAGACUUCCAGGUCACUCAUUCAUUCAACAACUAUUGUCUUGAGUACUUACAAAAUACCAGGCACAAUGCUGGGUGAAGGAUUACAGCUGUGAGCAAAACCAACGUGCACCAUUUACUUUCCAGUGGGGAGAAAGAUAACAAACAGUGGGCACCUGGCAGCAGAGACUGGAAACUGUGUUGAAGCUAAGGAGGAAUGCCACACUGUCACUGAGUUUCAGGAGCCUCCUAACUCCCAGGUUCAAAUUGGAGGGUGAGUUUUUGAGAGUGGCACUGUGUGAUGGAGAGAGGACUGGGUCGAGCAUCAGGAAGCCUGGAAGGUGGUCCUGACUCCACCGCUCACUUCACCGCUCUGGGUCUCAGGCUCUAAGGUAAAUUACAGAGUCGGUUUGCUAACUUCGAUAGUCGAUGCUUCUCUGAAAACAAACAGGGUGGAAUCCAGGUCUUUAAUCUCUGCUCUCCUGAGCUCAGCACGAUGCCUGGCACAGAGUAAGAACACUCAUAAAGUAUU